rnacentral:lncRNA from 14 species
GAUAGUCAAGUAGUUCUGUGAGCAAAAGAUCUAACAGUGCCUCAUUUUCUAUGUAGUAUCUUAGAGGAAAUGAAAACUACCUGCUGCAGCUGGGGUACUUACAAGGUGUCUCUUAGUUCAAUCUCCUCAGAUAAACUGGAAAUUUUCAAUAAUGGCAAUACAUUCAUUCUGCCAUUUGGAGGAGCCUGUGCCACAGAGUAAUGAUCUGAAGAAAGCUCACUUACUUGCAAAGAAGAGUCUUCAUUUGGGAAGUAGUUCUGAUGCGGCUAAGAGGUGCUUUGUCGAGUUCAGAACCUCCUGUUUGUGGUGAAAAUUGAGGUUUCCUCAAAGACAGUCCCAUAUCUGAAGAGUGAGAAGAGAGACGUCGCUUACCUUGUUCUUGGGACUCAUGAUCCAAGAGAUCUCUGAGAGAAGGCUCGUUGGCUGUGAGGACUGAUAUAUAGCUUACCUUGGGGCUUAACAGUGAUAGCAGGACUGGAUACCACCCAACAACUAUGCCAGGUUUGGUUCCCACCAUUGUGACAUUGUUUUGAGAGCAGGCCCAGAAGUUUGUUGUCCGGAUCAUCGACAUCCAGCUUCAGUACUCUCCUUUUGG